rnacentral:rRNA from 1 species
AGAGUUUGAUCCUGGCUCAGGAUAAACGCUGGCGGCGCACAUAAGACAUGCAAGUCGAACGAACUUAAUUGAGAGCUUGCUCUCAAAGCGGUUAGUGGCGGACUGGUGAGUAACACGUAAGCAACCUGCCUAUUAGAGGGGAAUAACAGCGAGAAAUCGUUGCUAAUACCGCAUAUGCUGUGAGUAUCGCAUGAUACAAGCAGGAAAGGAGUAAUCCGCUAAUAGAUGGGCUUGCGUCUGAUUAGUUAGUUGGUGGGGUAACGGCCUACCAAGACGAUGAUCAGUAGCCGGACUGAGAGGUUGAACGGCCACAUUGGGACUGAGAUACGGCCCAGACUCCUACGGGAGGCAGCAGUCGGGAAUAUUGCGCAAUGGAGGAAACUCUGACGCAGUGACGCCGCGUGCAGGAAGAAGGUUUUCGGAUUGUAAACUGCUUUUAACAGGAAAGAAAAAAAUGACGGUACCUGUUGAAUAAGCUCCGGCUAACUACGUGCCAGCAGCCGCGGUAAUACGUAGGGAGCGAGCGUUAUCCGGAUUUAUUGGGUGUAAAGGGUGCGUAGGCGGCUUUAUAAGUCGGUGGUCUAAGUCCGAAGCUUAACUUCGGUUCGCCAUUGAAACUGUAGAGCUUGAGUAUGGAAGAGGUAAGUGGAAUUUCUAGUGUAGCGGUUAAAUGCGUAGAUAUUAGAAGGAACACCAGUGGCGAAAGCGACUUACUGGUCCACUACUGACGCUGAGGCACGAAAGCGUGGGGAGCAAAUAGGAUUAGAUACCCUAGUAGUCCACGCCGU